GACGGAAGGUGCAAGCGUUGCUCGGAAUCACUGGGCGUAAAGGGUGCGUAGGCGGCCGUGCAAGUCUGGCGUGAAAGCCCCGGGCUCAGCCCGGGAAGUGCGCUCGAAACUGCGCGGCUCGAGUGCCGGAGGGGAGAGUGGAAUUCCUGGUGUAGCGGUGAAAUGCGUAGAUAUCAGGAGGAAUACCGGUGGCGAAAGCGAGUCCCUGGACAUUUCCUGACACUGAGGCACGAAAGCUAGGGGAGCAAACAGG
rnacentral:rRNA from 1 species